rnacentral:rRNA from 1 species
GACGUAGGGCGCGAGCGUUGUCCGGAUUUAUUGGGCGUAAAGAGCUCGUAGGUGGUUUGUCGCGUUGUUCGUGAAAACUCACAGCUUAACUGUGGGCGUGCGGGCGAUACGGGCAGACUGGAGUACUGCAGGGGAGACUGGAAUUCCUGGUGUAGUGGUGAAAUGCGCAGAUAUCGGGAAGAACACCCGUGGCGAAGGCGGGUUCUCUGGGACCGGUACUGACGCUGAGACGCGAAAGCGUGGGGAGCGAACAGG